GCGCCCGUAGCUCAGCUGGAUAGAGCGCCGCCCUCCGGAGGCGGAGGUCAGAGGUUCGAAUCCUCUCGGGCGCACCA
rnacentral:tRNA from 2 species